rnacentral:tRNA from 1 species
GCCGGGGUGGCUCAAUCGGUUAAGCAUCCGACUUUGGUUCAGGUCCUGAUCUCGUGGUUCGCGGGUCCAAGCCCCGCACCCGGCU